rnacentral:rRNA from 1 species
GACGAACGCUGGCGGCGUGCUUAACACAUGCAAGUCGAGCAGAGCGGCGAACGGGUGAGUAACGCGUGAGUAACUGCCCCCCUCUCUGGGAUAACAGUUGGAAACGGCUGCUAAUACCGGAUAGUGGGGGAUGACUCGCGUCCUAUCAGCUUGUUGGUGGGGUAGUGGCCUACCAAGGCGACGCCGGGUAGCCGGCCUGAGAGGGGGACCGGCCACAUUGGGCUGAGAUACGGCCCAAAGUCGUACGGGAGGCAGCAGUGGGAAAUAUUGGACAGUGGGGGAACACGUGAUGCAGAAACGCCGCGUGCGGGAUGAAGGCCUUCGGGUUGUAAACCGCUUUCAGCCAGGACGCGGUAGUGGCAGAAGAAGCACCGGCUAACUACGUGCCAGCAGCCGCGGUAAUUC